AUAUAAAAAAGAAGAUGUGGUAUGAUUGCCAAUGAGACAACUAUCCACAAAAGACCUAAAUGACACAGACUUUAACAACUAUAGGUCACCGUACGGCCUUCAACAAUGAGCAAAGCCCAUAUCGCAUAGUCAGCUAUAAAAGGCCCCGAUAAGACAAUGUUAAACAAUUCAAACGAGAAAACUAACGGCCUUAUUUAUGUAAAAAAAAAAUGAACGAAAAACAAAUAUGUAACACAUAAACAAACGACUACCACUGAAUUACAGGCUCCUGACUUGGGACAGGCACAUACAUAAAUAAUGUGGCGGGGUUAAACAUGUUAACGGGAUCCCAACCCUCCCCUAACCUGGUACAGUGGUAUAACAGUACAACAUAAGAACGAACUAUAAAAAUCAGUUGAAAAGGGCUUAACUCAUCAGAUGGACAAAAAUACAAGUGGACGUGGCCCGGUACUUUUACAUCCCGACACAAAAAGACACA
rnacentral:lncRNA from 1 species